rnacentral:rRNA from 1 species
UCUAGCCUGCCCACUGAUUUAGUUUAAAGGGCCGCGGUAUAUUGACCGUGCGAAGGUAGCAUAAUCAUUAGUCUUUUAAUUGAAGGCUUGUAUGAAUGGUUGGACAAAAAGUAAGCUGUCUCAAUUAUAAUGAUUGAACUUAACUUUUAAGUGAAAAGGCUUAAAUAAAUUAAGGGGACGAUAAGACCCUAUAAAGCUUGACAAUAAUUUAAUUAUACUAUCAAUUGUUAGUAUAACUUGGUUUUAAUUAAGAUUUGUUGCGUUGGGGCGACGAGAAUAUAAUAGGUAACUGUUCUUAAAUAUUUAAUAACAAAUAUAAUUGAAAAUUAGUGUGAUCCUCUAUUAGCGAUUAAAAGAUUAAGUUACUUUAGGGAUAACAGCGUAAUCUUCUUUGAGAGUCCCUAUCGACAAGAAGGUUUGCGACCUCGAUGUUGAAUUAAGGUAUCCUUAUGAUGCAGCAGUUAUAAAGGAA